rnacentral:rRNA from 1 species
UACAGAGGGGGCAAGCGUUAUUCGGAAUUAUUGGGCGUAAAGGGCGCGUAGGCGGCUUGGCAAGUGGAUGGUGAAAUCCCUCGGCUUAACCGAGGAACUGCCGUCCAAACUGCUUCGCUUGAGACCGGGAGAGGUGAGUGGAAUUCCCAGUGUAGCGGUGAAAUGCGUAGAUAUUGGGAAGAACACCGGUGGCGAAGGCGGCGAGCUGGCCUGUUACUGACGCUGAGGCGCGACAGCGUGGGGAGCGAACAGG